rnacentral:sRNA from 1 species
CAAUUUCCACCGUAUACAAUAGCAACAUGCAUACACACAUACAUAUGUAUGUAGGCGCACCCGUAUGUAUAUCUUCAAUGUGUCCACGAAGUAUAUAUAAAUGUAUAUGCAUAUGUAUGUGUGCCGUAUAAACGUUUUGUUCCAUAAGCGUGAAUGUAUAUUAUAAAGAUGAUGAAUGAAUUGGAUGGCCAUUAGACAGGCAGGAAGGAUGGUUGGCAAGCAGUCAGGCAGGCAGGCAUUCAGCGGUGAUAGAUUCUUUAAAACGACCGAUGGAUGUGCAUGUAUAUAAACCGGAGUAGAUAUAAAAGAUUGUAUGCUCAACAAAAACAUGAAAUAGCCUCCAUUUUCCUAUUGCCAUUUCACUUUCACUGUUUUCAAAUACGAGCAACCUCACGUCAUCACAACCACACGGGUAGGAACUCUCAGCUCCGAUUUGUAUGGUGUUAAACGUCAUUACGAGCAACUCAGCUGGGAGCUACAGGCGCGACCACAAGUUGCGGAUAAUGGGAUGCUUCAUAUACGGAGUAGCUGCAACCACAGUGGCGUAUCGAGUGGAGAGUCUCAGUGAGAGGCCGGCCGGCAACGGCUCUUGUUUAGACACUAAGCAUAUUACCAUACUCAAUAUGACAAGGCAAGAGUUUUUGGAGUCGAGCGGUCCUAGGACCGAAACGAGUUUGCAAGCCUCUAGAGCUUGACGAGGGUCACUACCUCUAAAUACAAAUGUGGUUUCAACAACAACAACGUAAAGUUCAGGCAUACAUUAAUGAUAUGAACAUUAACGUCUGCAAAGUCCGCCUGUGACCAUAAAAUUACUGCUUGGUACUUAGAAAUGUCAUUGCAAUCCACGAGCUAUGCCUUUCUUUCCUAGGUUAUGACCAGAGAGGCUUUAGGUUUGGCAUGGCAAAUGAAGAUAUUCAAGUUCUCCAAACAUUUCCAUAUAUGACGUCGUGAUCUCCUUCCAGCCAUCACAAUUUACCACCGCUACCCCCGCAUGCAAGUUUGUAGCUACCAUAACAUUAAAAUCGUACAAGACAUUGGGACCAGCAGAAGUAUGCCGACAACUGAAUGUGAGAGACGAAGUCGUAACGAUUCCGACCACCAACUAUGGACUUUUUUCUUUUUUUUUCUGGCUAAAUAUCUUGAAUAUAAAUUACUUUCUUUAAGCUUACAAGUUACUAAUGUGGGCUAUUUAACAAUGUAAUGCGAUUUACCCUGGCCUCAUUUGACAACCCUUACAACAGGUUGUCUGCACAUCCUAUUUCAGCUUGAAACAAUAUCAGAAGACUUUCUCCACUGCAGUCGGGAUUACAUAUUGGAAUCGAUCCAGGAUCAAGCCUUGCCAAGAACUGCUGGCAAUACUCUUUCCAAAAUUUCGGCCGGUUUCACGCGAAUAAAUGCUUCAAUGUUGUCUUCCAAUGCGUCAA